rnacentral:tRNA from 3 species
CCUGCUGUGGCUGGCGGGCGCCCCGACCCGGCUGUUCGCCGGGGUGCUGGCGGUCGCCGCGCUGCUCGGCGCGAUCCUCAUCCGCACCAGCGAGA